rnacentral:rRNA from 1 species
CCCUUAGAUGUUCUGGGCCGCACGCGCGCUACACUGAUGCAUUCAACGAGUCUAAAACCUGGUCUGAUAGGGCUGGGUAAUCUUUUGAAUGUGCAUCGUGAUUGGGAUAGAUGAUUGCAAUUCUUCAUCUUCAACGAGGAAUGCCUAGUAAACGCAAGUCAUCAGCUUGCAUUGAUUACGUCCCUGCCCUUUGUACAAACCGCCCGUCGCUCCUACCGAUUGAAUGUUCCGAUGAAUACCAUGGACUGAGAGUAUGAAUGGGUUCGCCUAUUUCUGCUUCUCGGGAAGUGGAGUAAAUCUUAACAUUUAGAGGAAGGAGAAGUCGUAACA